GAUGAACGCUGGCGGCGUGCAUAACACAUUCAAGUCGAACGGUGAACCCUUCGGGGGAUCAGUGGCGGACGGGUGAGUAACGCGUGAGCAACCUGCCUUACAGUACGGGAUAACGUCCGGAAACAGACGCUAAUACCGUAUGAUGCAAUCGGGACGCAUGUUCUGAUUGCCAAAGAUUUAUUGCUGUAAGAUGGGCUCGCGUCUGAUUAGGUAGUUGGCGGGGGAACGGCCCACCAAGCCUACGAUCAGUAGCCGGACUGAGAGGUUGAACGGCCACAUUGGAACUGAGAAACGGUCCAG
rnacentral:rRNA from 1 species